rnacentral:rRNA from 1 species
UACGUAGGCAGCAAGCGUUGUUCGGAAUUACUGGGCGUAAAGAGUGUGUAGGCGGUGCUCUAAGUUCGGUGUGAAAUCUCCCGGCUCAACUGGGAGGGUGCGCCGAAAACUGGAGUGCUGGAGCGCGGGAGAGGAAAGCGGAAUUCCUGGUGUAGCGGUGAAAUGCGUAGAGAUCGGGAGGAACACCAGUGGCGAAGGCGGCCUUCUGGACCAAUACUGACGCUCAUGCACGAAAGCGUGGGGAGCAAACAGG